CCCAGACUGGCAACCAGAGGAACGUGUGUCUUCCGAGUCUCUCCUGAUUUUUCUGCCGACAUCCUUGACAGAAAAAGCGCUUACUGACCGCUAGAUACCUAGCAGAUAUGCUUACCACUCUGUCGUCCUCACCCCGCUCCACGCCCUGGUUCUCCUGUGUAACACUAUAAACAAAGAG